rnacentral:rRNA from 1 species
CUUAAAACCCAAAGGACUUGACGGUACCCCAUAUCCUUCUAGAGGAGCCUGUCCUAUAAUCGAUAAUCCCCGUUUAACCUCACCAUUUUUAGCCUAUUCCACCUGUAUACCUCCGUCGUCAGCUUACCACGUGAGCGCUUUAAGUGAGCCUAAUGUCUUCUCGUCAAUACGUCAGGUCAAGGUGCAGUAAAUAAAAUGGGAAGAGAUGGGCUACACUCUCUACUACUAGAGAAAACGAAAGACCACCUAUGAAACCUGGUCAGAAGGCGGAUUUAGCAGUAAAAAAGGACCAGAGAGCCUUUUUUAACCCGGCACUGGGGUGUGU